UACAGAGGUGCCGAGCGUUAGGCGGAAUCACUGGGCUUAAAGCGCGUGUAGGUGGAUCGUUAAGUGUCUUGUGAAAUCCCACGGCUCAACCGUGGAACUGCUGGGCAUACUGACGAUCUUGAGGCACUCAGGGGCUGUCGGAACAAAUGGUGGAGCGGUGAAAUGCGUAGAUAUCAUUUGGAACGCCAAUGGUGAAAACAGACAGCUGGGGGUGUCCUGACACUGAGACGCGAAAGCCAGGGGAGCAAACGGG
rnacentral:rRNA from 1 species